UGGGGAAUAUUGCGCAAUGAACGAAAGUUUGACGCAGCGACGCCGCGUGAGGGACGAAGGUCUUCGGAUCGUAAACCUCUGUCAGAAGGGAAGAAGUGUAGGGGUAGUAACUGCCCGCUACUUGACGGUACCUUCAAAGGAAGCACCGGCUAACUCCGUGCCAGCAGCCGCGGUAAUACGGAGGGUGCGAGCGUUAAUCGGAAUUACUGGGCGUAAAGCGCGCGUAGGCGGCUUUGGAAGUCAGGGGUGAAAGCCCAUGGCGCAACCGGGGCAUUGCCUUUGAUACUGCAGAGCUUGAGUUCGGGAGAGGGUGGUGGAAUUCCAGGUGUAGUAGUGAAAUCCGUAGAGAUCUGGAGGAACAUCAGUGGCGAAGGCGACCACCUGGCCCGAUACUGACGCUGAGGUGCGAAAGCGUGGGUAGCAAACA
rnacentral:rRNA from 1 species